UACGAAGGGGACUAGCGUUGUUCGGAAUCACUGGGCGUAAAGCGCACGUAGGCGGAUUUGUAAGUCAGGGGUGAAAUCCCGGGGCUCAACCUCGGAACUGCCUUUGAUACUGCGAAUCUUGAGUCCGAUAGAGGUGGGUGGAAUUCCUAGUGUAGAGGUGAAAUUCGUAGAUAUUAGGAAGAACACCGGUGGCGAAGGCGGCCCACUGGAUCGGUACUGACGCUGAGGUGCGAAAGCGUGGGAGCAAACAGGA
rnacentral:rRNA from 1 species